rnacentral:lncRNA from 1 species
UUCAAGAUGCUCUUGUGCUCGAGGCCAUUCAGCGCCUUUUGAAGUCGGAUGUUCCUUCGAAAGUAAAUGUUUUCGGUUGGAGGUUAUUAUUAAAUAGAUUACCAACUAGAACAGCUCUUCAUCAUCGUGGUAUUUUGACUAAUCAUCAUGAAUUAUCAUGCGUCUUUUGUUUUCAACAAGCUGAGGACGAAAAUCAUCUUUUCUUUUCAUG